UGAAUAAAUAAACCAAUAUGUUAAAUCAAGAAGGCAAAAUCAAUAUCCGAAUAACAAUAGUCAUGAAAGAACCACAAUUCUAGAACGUAAAGUUUAGCUCCAUAUAGACAUGGUAGCCAAACAAUAAAUCAUAUAAAGAAACAUAAAAAUUACUAAGUUUGGUGGAAGAAGAUGAAAUCUGGCCUCCACUGCGGCUCCUUGCUCUCCCUAGGUCGAAUCCCCUUCAAAAUUUUUAUUAGAUGACCUAAAGGGGGCAUUUUUAACCUAUAUAAUGCGUAUAAAAGUCGUGGGCCAAAGUUUUCUUUUUCCUAAUCCGACUCAGCUUCAGGAAUUGAUGUUGGUUCUUCAACUUUUGUUCCUCCAUCUCUGUUGUGCCCAAUUGCGGAAGCUAAGGCGGAUGCUAUGGCCCGACUUCACUGUUAAGCGUGUACCAACUAGCCUUCUUUCCAAGGUUGGAUGCGACGCAUCCACCCUCUUCUCCUCUAGUUGGAGCAUCUUUUCUUCAUAUUUUUGCGCUCCAAACAUCUUAAAUCAUCACACAUAACUUAAUUAGUCAUAAAACUAAUAAUUAACACAUAUUGGGCAUUUUAAACACCAAAUAGCACCAAAAAGUGGUUAAAACAUGGGUAAAGUAACAUCAAAACAUAUAGAAAUAUGCCCAAUAUUAAUUUUUUUUCCUCUAUUCUAAUUUCCUUUUUUUCUUUCCUUUUUCUUUUCCAUUUUCUUCGAAAUUUUCAGCAGGUGUUUUCCCCCUUUCUCUUUGUUUUCCAUCUAUAUAAAACUUUGAGGCUUUGUUAGUAGCGUACCUCUUGUUUGUGUAUGUGACUGUUUUCCAGUGACCUUGGGUUGAGUGCUCUUCAGAUGCUUUCUACUCCGUCUGUUGGGUAGACCUACUUUGUAAACAUUGAUAGUAAUUGUGGCCUAACCAUUCGUAGAUUGUGCAAAGUGGGUUUGUGUUCUCAUAGUGUAUUUCCUGUAGAUGCUUGCCAAUCAUAACAUUUAUAGGUAUAGGCUUGCCCAGUGGUGUUAAAAUACAUAGUCUGGCAUACCUUCCCCGUGUUGUGUGCACCGUACAACUAUCAAUUUUGAGAACCGUACCGAUUGUGCCUCUAAUUUUUUGUAGUACAUUUAAAUCAUAGUACUUUGUAGGUAAUUCUGGUAGGCGCACCCAUAUGGUGGAAAAGGUAUUUUGGACAUUGUUGGGAUUAAAUUUCAGUGUCCAUUUCCUAAUUGAGAGAAAUUGGGAUCCAAUGAACCAUGGUCCAUUAUUCAGGGCUGUGGUGUACAGAUUUUUUGACGAAAAUCUUAUAAGGUAAAAAUCAUUGCCAAGGUUUUUGAGAUUUAGGGGCUCUGUUGUGUUCCAAAGUUUUUGUAUUUUUAUGCGUAGAAGAGUAUAACCAAUUCUUUUAGCUAUGAGCUUGAUAAUUAGUGCUUGGGUCCAAGGAUUUGUAAAGUCUUUGUUUUUCAGCAGAAGAGAUGGGUAUAAAAGUCGGGUGAUUUGUUGGGUUAUCAUCAUCAUCUUCAAGUGACAGAUUGGCAAACAUGUCAAAGUCAAACUCUAAAGAUUCAAAGAGUUGAUUUUCAAUUACUCUAUCUGUGAAGCUUACCUUGGGGUCUAGUUUGUUUCCUUCCGUUUUUGGCUUUUGUGUACUCCGAUAGAGCAGAUUAGCUUCUUCAGUUGUCAGUGAUGAUAAUUGUGCCGUGUCCAUCGUUAUUGUCUCGUUAGUCUUUUGGUGGUGAUUGAUUUGGGUUCUUGGUGUUGUUUCUCUCUCUAAUGGCUAGAGAGAAGGCCAAAAAAAAACUACUUCUCUAUGUCAUGAUAAAUGUUACUUAUCAUUUUUUUAGGUUUUAUUUAAU
rnacentral:lncRNA from 1 species